GCGCCCGUAGCUCAGCGGAUAGAGCGGUGGCCUCCGGAGCCACGUCUUGCGCAGGUUCGACUCCUGCCGGGCGCA
rnacentral:tRNA from 1 species